UAUAAUAUAAAGAAGAGACUUUUGGUUGCAGCAAUAGGGGGUGGGGCGAAUCCACGCCCUUUCCUUUUGGCUUCUGAAGAGAAUGAAUGCUGUUUGUCCCACUCAAUCGAUUGGAAGGCCAUGAUUAGAAGAAAACAAGGAGGAAAGGGACUAAAAGAUGCUCUCAAGAGAGCAUGGCUAUGAAUCGUUUGGUGGUCUGAAUGAGAUUGCAACAUCUCAUGAUGUGAGCGUGCAAAGGAUGGAAGAGAGGGG
rnacentral:lncRNA from 1 species